rnacentral:rRNA from 1 species
UACGGAGGGUGCAAGCGUUAUCCGGAUUCACUGGGUUUAAAGGGAGCGUAGGAGGGCAGGUAAGUCAGUGGUGAAAUCUUUGGGCUUAACCCGAAAACUGCCAUUGAUACUAUCUGUCUUGAAUAUGGUGGAGGCUAGCGGAAUAUGUCAUGUAGCGGUGAAAUGCUUAGAUAUGACAUAGAACACCGAUUGCGAAGGCAGCUGGCUACACGAAUAUUGACACUGAGGCACGAAAGCGUGGGGAUCAAACAGG